GCUUACCACUUUGUGGUUCAUGACUGGGGUGAAGUCGUAACAAGGUAGCGCUAGGGGAACCUGGCGCUGGAUCACCUCCUUAUACGAUGAU
rnacentral:rRNA from 1 species